GGCUCAGAACGAACGCUGGCGGCAUGGAUUAGGCAUGCAAGUCGAACGAGGCAGCAAUGCCGAGUGGCGGAAGGGUGAGGAACGCGUGAGUAAUCUGCCCCCUAGUUGGGAAUAACAGUUGGAAACGACUGCUAAUACCGAAUGUGGCUUAUUGGUCGCAUGACCGAUGGGCUAAAGAUUUAUCGCUAGGGGAUGAGCUCGCGUCCCAUUAGCUAGUUGGUGAGGCAACGGCUCACCAAGGCGACGAUGGGUAGCUGGUCUGAGAGGAUGGUCAGCCACACUGGGACUGAGACACUGCCCAGACUCCUACGGGAGGCUGCAGUCGAGAAUCUUGGGCAAUGCGCGAAAGCGUGACCCAGCCAAUGCCGCGUGCGGGAUGAAGGUCUUCGGAUUGUAAACCGCUGUCAACCGGGACGAACACAAUGACUGUACCGGUGAAGGAAGCCACGGCUAACUACGUGCCAGCAGCCGC
rnacentral:rRNA from 1 species